CUCUAUUUCUAUACCCUCCUGAACUUGCUUGAUCUUGUCUGAUCUUAGAAGCUAAAUAGAAUUGGGCCUGGUUAGUACUUGGCUGAGAGAAUACCUGGUUCCAUAGGCU
rnacentral:rRNA from 1 species